rnacentral:rRNA from 1 species
UACAGAGGUCUCAAGCGUUGUUCGGAUUCAUUGGGCGUAAAGGGUGCGUAGGUGGCGGGGUUAGUCAGGUGUGAAAUCUCGGAGCUCAACUCCGAAACUGCACUUGAUACUGCCUUGCUAGAGUACUGGAGAGGAGAUUGGAAUUUACGGUGUAGCAGUGAAAUGCGUAGAUAUCGUAAGGAAGACCAGUGGCGAAGGCGAGUCUCUGGACAGUUACUGACGCUGAGGCACGAAGGCCAGGGGAGCAAACGGG